UACGUAGGGGGCAAGCGUUGUCCGGAUUUAUUGGGCGUAAAGCGCGUGUAGGCGGCCAGAUAGGUCUGCUGUGAAAACUCGAGGCUCAACCUCGAGCUGUCGGCGGAAACCAUCUGGCUAGAGUCCGGAAGAGGAGAGUGGAAUUCCUGGUGUAGCGGUGAAAUGCGCAGAUAUCAGGAAGAACACCGGUGGCGAAGGCAGCUCUCUGGGACGGUACUGACGCUGAGACGCGAAAGCGUGGGGAGCGAACAGG
rnacentral:rRNA from 1 species